GGGGGUCAUCCCGACUUACCAACCCGAUGCAAACUGCGAAUACCGGAGAAUGUUAUCACGGGAGACACACGGCGGGUGCUAACGUCCGUCGUGAAGAGGGAAACAACCCAGACCGCCAGCUAAGGUCCCAAAGUCAUGGUUAAGUGGGAAACGAUGUGGGAAGGCCCAGACAGCCAGGAUGUUGGCUUAGAAGCAGCCAUCAUUUAAAGAAAGCGUAAUAGCUCACUGGUCGAGUCGGCCUGCGCGGAAGAUGUAACGGGGCUAAACCAUGCACCGAAGCUGCGGCAGCGACGCUUAUGCGUUGUUGGGUAGGGGAGCGUUCUGUAAGCCUGCGAAGGUGUGCUGUGAGGCAUGCUGGAGGUAUCAGAAGUGCGAAUGCUGACAUAAGUAACGAUAAAGCGGGUGAAAAGCCCGCUCGCCGGAAGACCAAGGGUUCCUGUCCAACGUUAAUCGGGGCAGGGUGAGUCGACCCCUAAGGCGAGGCCGAAAGGCGUAGUCGAUGGGAAACAGGUUAAUAUUCCUGUACUUGGUGUUACUGCGAAGGGGGGACGGAGAAGGCUAUGUUGGCCGGGCGACGGUUGUCCCGGUUUAAGCGUGUAGGCUGGUUUUCCAGGCAAAUCCGGAAAAUCAAGGCUGAGGCGUGAUGACGAGGCACUACGGUGCUGAAGCAACAAAUGCCCUGCUUCCAGGAAAAGCCUCUAAGCAUCAGGUAACAUCAAAUCGUACCCCAAACCGACACAGGUGGUCAGGUAGAGAAUACCAAGGCGCUUGAGAGAACUCGGGUGAAGGAACUAGGCAAAAUGGUGCCGUAACUUCGGGAGAAGGCACGCUGAUAUGUAGGUGAAGUCCCUCGCGGAUGGAGCUGAAAUCAGUCGAAGAUACCAGCUGGCUGCAACUGUUUAUUAAAAACACAGCACUGUGCAAACACGAAAGUGGACGUAUACGGUGUGACGCCUGCCCGGUGCCGGAAGGUUAAUUGAUGGGGUUAGCGCAAGCGAAGCUCUUGAUCGAAGCCCCGGUAAACGGCGGCCGUAACUAUAACGGUCCUAAGGUAGCGAAAUUCCUUGUCGGGUAAGUUCCGACCUGCACGAAUGGCGUAAUGAUGGCCAGGCUGUCUCCACCCGAGACUCAGUGAAAUUGAACUCGCUGUGAAGAUGCAGUGUACCCGCGGCAAGACGGAAAGACCCCGUGAACCUUUACUAUAGCUUGACACUGAACAUUGAGCCUUGAUGUGUAGGAUAGGUGGGAGGCUUUGAAGUGUGGACGCCAGUCUGCAUGGAGCCGACCUUGAAAUACCACCCUUUAAUGUUUGAUGUUCUAACGUUGACCCGUAAUCCGGGUUGCGGACAGUGUCUGGUGGGUAGUUUGACUGGGGCGGUCUCCUCCUAAAGAGUAACGGAGGAGCACGAAGGUUGGCUAAUCCUGGUCGGACAUCAGGAGGUUAGUGCAAUGGCAUAAGCCAGCUUGACUGCGAGCGUGACGGCGCGAGCAGGUGCGAAAGCAGGUCAUAGUGAUCCGGUGGUUCUGAAUGGAAGGGCCAUCGCUCAACGGAUAAAAGGUACUCCGGGGAUAACAGGCUGAUACCGCCCAAGAGUUCAUAUCGACGGCGGUGUUUGGCACCUCGAUGUCGGCUCAUCACAUCCUGGGGCUGAAGUAGGUCCCAAGGGUAUGGCUGUUCGCCAUUUAAAGUGGUACGCGAGCUGGGUUUAGAACGUCGUGAGACAGUUCGGUCCCUAUCUGCCGUGGGCGCUGGAGAACUGAGGGGGGCUGCUCCUAGUACGAGAGGACCGGAGUGGACGCAUCACUGGUGUUCGGGUUGUCAUGCCAAUGGCACUGCCCGGUAGCUAAAUGCGGAAGAGAUAAGUGCUGAAAGCAUCUAAGCACGAAACUUGCCCCGAGAUGAGUUCUCCCUGACUCCUUGAGAGUCCUGAAGGAACGUUGAAGACGACGACGUUGAUAGGCCGGGUGUGUAAGCGCAGC
rnacentral:rRNA from 1 species